CCCUGUGUGUGCCAGCACUAUGGCCUAGCAAGAAGAGCUAUCACGCAGGGCUGGAGAUUAAUCAGUGGACCCUGCCUGUCCCUGCUCAGGGCUGUACCUGCCAGGCACAUCUGCUGUUGGCACAGAGUCCUUGACUCCAAGUUUCAUAUUCUCACUUCUCAGGAAGAAGAGAGUAACCAAGUCUCAUCGUACCUAAGAGGGACCAGAUAGAACCUGAGGGAAGCUUGAGCCCUGGAUGUUCAUCAAAUGAAAUGAUUAAUCAUGAGGUCAAUGAGAAGCUGUGGAAGGUGAGAUCUGUUCAAUACUCGUGGCCCGAGGUCUGCAGAAAUUUCCAUAAUAUAAGGAAGAAUUCUGCAGGGACAAGAAUGCUAAACUGCAGACUACUUUUUCUCCUGGCUAUCUCUUCUCCUCGGCCUCAUCUUCCACAAACAUCCCCAACAACGUGGAUUGUUAAACUUCCUUCUUCUAAAUAAACCCAGGGAUUAAAAUUAAAACUUUGGCCAAUCAAUCUUAAUAAUAAUAAAAAAAAUCGAUUUGAGUUCCCAUCAGUAGGGGGGAAAACUGUGUGGAUAAAAUGUGAUUUUUCAAUGCAACAUGGAAGAAGCAGCUGUGUUUGAGCAUCUCCUGCCCUGGGAUCUUGAACUGGAGCUCUGUAAAUGCCUAGUGAGCUGCCUGGCCUUUUGCCCACUGCCUGGGCCAUUCCUUGCCUAGCAUUUAUUUUUUCAGUCCACUGUUGUUCAUAACCAAUUGCUGUUGGUACUCUAGUGGUCAAAUAAAUCAUACAAAAAGAAUCACAUUUUCCAAACUGUGGUUGCAAAUCCAAGUCUUCAGUCGACUUGGCCCAUUAAAAAAAAAAAAAAAAAAAAAAGCUGUUCUUAAUAAACAAA